GACGAACGCUGGCGGCGUGCUUAACACAUGCAAGUCGAACGAUGAAGCUGGAGCUUGCUCCGGUGGAUUAGUGGCGAACGGGUGAGUAACACGUGAGAAAUCUGCCCUUGACUCUGGGAUAACUGCGGGAAACUGUAGCUAAUACCGGAUUUUUUCCUUGGUGGGCAUCCACUGGGGAAGAAAGAAUUUCGGUCAAGGAUGAUCUCGCGGCCUAUCAGCUAGUUGGUGAGGUAAUGGCUCACCAAGGCGACGACGGGUAGCCGGCCUGAGAGGGUGACCGGCCACACUGGGACUGAGACACGGCCCAGACUCCUACGGGAGGCAGCAGUGGGGAAUAUUGCACAAUGGGCGCAAGCCUGAUGCAGCAACGCCGCGUGAGGGAUGACGGCCUUCGGGUUGUAAACCUCUUUUAGCAGGGAAGAAGCGAAAGUGACGGUACCUGCAGAAAAAGCACCGGCUAACUACGUGCCAGCCGCCGCAGUAA
rnacentral:rRNA from 1 species